CCUACGGGUGGCAGCAGUGGGGAAUAUUGCACAAUGGGCGAAACCCUGAUGCAGCGACGCCGCGUGAGUGAUGAAGGACUUCGUGAUGUAAAGCUCUGUCAGCAAGGAAGAAAAUGACGGUACCUGAGUAAGAAGCCCCGGCUAACUACGUGCCAGCAGCCGCGGUAAUACGUAGGGUGCUAGCGUUAAUCGGAAUUACUGGGCGUAAAGCGCUCGUAGGGGGUUUGUUAAGUCAAGGGUGAAAACCCUCCGGUCAACGCGGGUAAAGCCUUUGAAACUGGGAAACUGGAGUGUGGGAGAGGAUAGUGGAAUUCCAGGUGUAGGAGUGAAAUCCGUAGAUAUCUGGAGGAACAUCAGUGGCGAAGGCGACUAUCUGGAAUAUAACUGACGCUGAGGAGCGAAAGCGUGGGUAGCAAACAGGAUUAGAUACCCGAGUAGUC
rnacentral:rRNA from 1 species